AUUGAACGCUGGCGGCAUGCCUUACACAUGCCAGUCGAACGGCAGCACGGGUUCUUGUGCCUCGUGGCGGCGUACGGCCGGGUAAGCAAUCCAUAGGAACAUGAUCUGUCGUGGGGAAUAGUCCGGCUAAAGGCUAAUUACUACCGCAUACGAUCUACGGAUGAAAGGGUGGGCCCGUCUUGCCUCGCGCUGUUGGGUUGGUCGAUGGCUGAUUAGCUAGUUGGUGGGAUAAAGGCCUACCAAAGCGACGACCAGUAGCGGGUCUGAGAGGGCGACCAGCCACACUGGGACUGAGACACGGCCCAGACUCCUACGGUAGGCAGCAGCGGGGAAUUUUGGACAAUGGGCGAAAGCCGGAUCCAGCAAUGCCGCGUGAGGGAUGAAGGCCUUCGGGUUGUAAAGUGCUUUUGUCCGGAAAGAAAUACUUGGCUUUAAUACGGGAGGGUGAUGACGGUACCGGAAGAAUAAGCACCGGCUAACUACGUG
rnacentral:rRNA from 1 species